GACGAACGCUGGCGGCGUGCCUAAUACAUGCAAGUCGAGCGAAGUUUUUCUGGUGCUUGCACUAGAAAAACUUAGCGGCGAACGGGUGAGUAACACGUAAAGAACCUGCCUCAUAGACUGGGACAACUAUUGGAAACGAUAGCUAAUACCGGAUAACAGUAUUUCUCGCAUGAGAGAUAUUUAAAAGUUGGUUAUGCUAACACUAUGAGAUGGCUUUGCGGUGCAUUAGCUAGUUGGUGGGGUAAAGGCCCACCAAGGCGACGAUGCAUAGCCGACCUGAGAGGGUGAUCGGCCACACUGGGACUGAGACACGGCCCAGACUCCUACGGGAGGCAGCAGUAGGGAAUCUUCCGCAAUGGGCGAAAGCCUGACGGAGCAACGCCGCGUGAGUGAAGAAGGAUUUCGGUUCGUAAAGCUCUGUUGUUAGGGAAGAAUGGAUAUGUAGUAACUAUACAUGUAAGAGACGGUACCUAACCAGAAAGCCACGGCUAACUACGU
rnacentral:rRNA from 1 species